rnacentral:tRNA from 1 species
GCCCGAGUAGCUCAGGGGAUAGAGCAGCGGCCUUCUAAUCCGCUGGUCGGGGGUUCGAAUCCCUCCUCGGGCA